rnacentral:rRNA from 1 species
UUUCGCAAUGCCCGAAAGGGUGACGAAGCGACGCCGCGUGCGGGAAGAAGGCCUUCGGGUUGUAAACCGCUGUCGGGAGUUAAGAAAUGUAAGGAUGUUAAUAGCAUCUUUGCUUGACUAAGGCUCCGGAGGAAGCCACGGCUAACUCUGUGCCAGCAGCCGCGGUAAUACAGAGGCGGCAAGCGUUGUUCGGAAUUAUUGGGCGUAAAGAGCACGUAGGCGGCUAUGUAAGUCGGUUGUGAAAGCCUUCCGCUCAACGGGAGAACAGCAUCCGAUACUGCAUGGCUUGAGUGCAGGAGGGGAGAGUGGAACUUCUGGUGGAGCGGUGAAAUGCGUAGAUAUCAGAAGGAACGCCGGCGGCGAAAGCGGCUCUCUGGCCCAUAACUGACGCUGAGUGUGCGAAAGCUAGGGGAGCAAACGGGAUUAGAUACCCCGGUAGUCCCAGCCGUAAACGAUGGGCACUAAGUAGAGGGGUUUUA